rnacentral:rRNA from 1 species
UACGAAGGGGGCUAGCGUUGCUCGGAAUUACUGGGCGUAAAGCGCACGUAGGCGGCUCUUUAAGUCGGGGGUGAAAUCCUGGAGCUCAACUCCAGAACUGCCUUCGAUACUGAAGAGCUUGAGUCCGGGAGAGGUGAGUGGAACUGCGAGUGUAGAGGUGAAAUGCGCAGAUAUCAGGAAGAACACCCGUGGCGAAGGCGGCUCUCUGGGACGGUACUGACGCUGAGACGCGAAAGCGUGGGGAGCGAACAGG